CCUUAAACCUAGUUGGAGCCUA
rnacentral:siRNA from 1 species